GUGAGUCAUCGAAUCUUUGAACGCACAUUGCGCCCGCUAGUACUCUAGCGGGCAUGCCUGUUCGAGCGUCAUUUCAAACCUCAAGCACCGCUUGGCGUUGGGGUUUUACAGCUGCUGUAAGCCCUGAAAGAUAGUGGCGGUCUCGCCGCGGCUCCGAGCGCAGUAGCACAUCUCGCUCGCGGCGCCGCGGCGGGCUUCCGGCCGUUAAAACCCCCCGGAGAACGGUUGACCUCGGAUCAGGUAGGAAUACCCGCUGAACUUAAGCAUAUCAAUAAGCGGAGGA
rnacentral:misc_RNA from 1 species